GAUGAACGCUGACAGAAUGCUUAGCACAUGCAAGUCGACUUGAAGCAACUUCGGUUGUGGAAAGUGGCGGACGGGUGAGUAACGCGUAAAGAACUUGCCCUUCAGUCUGGGACAACCAUUGGAAACGAUGGCUAAUACCGGAUAUUAUGGAACUCUCGCAUGGGAGGAUCAUGAAAGCUAUAUGCGCUGAAGGAGAGCUUUGCGUUCCAUUAGCUAGUUGGUGAGGUAACGGCUCACCAAGGCGACGAUGGAUAGCCGGCCUAAGAGGGUGAUCGGCCACAAGGGGACUGAGACACGGCCCUUACUCCUACGGGAGGCAGCAGUGGGGAAUAUUGGACAAUGGACCAAAAGUCUGAUCCAGCAAUUCUGUGUGCACGAUGAAGGUUUUCGGAUCGUAAAGUGCUUUCAGUUGGGAAGAAGAAAGUGACGGUACCAACAGAAGAAGCGACGGCUAAAUACGUGCCAGCAGCCGCGGUAAUACGUAUGUCGCAAGCGUUAUCCGGAUUUAUUGGGCGUAAAGCGCGUCUAGGCGGGUUCAUAAGUCUGAUGUUAAAAUGCGGGGCUCAACUCCGUAUUGCGUUAGAAACUGUGAACCUAGAGUAUCAGAGAGGUGGGCGGAGCUACAAGUGUAGAGGUGAAAUUCGUAGAUAUUUGUAGGAAUGCCGAUGGAGAAGUCAGCUCACUGGAUGAAUACUGACGCUAAAGCGCGAAAGCGUGGGUAGCAAACAGG
rnacentral:rRNA from 1 species